CUCUGGUAUGCCGAGCCUUGUCCCUGUGUGGGACAGAGAGCUGGCCCAGCGGGGAUAGCCGAGGCUCAGAUUAAUCCACGUUUGCAUGGAAUACUUUAAAGCUGUCUGCAGUGAUCCCAUGGAUUCCCCACACACCGUGCAUCUGAGGGCUGCAUCAUCCCAUCCCAUCAGCAACUCUGGGAGCCAUAGCAUGGGAGCUGGCCAGCAGGGUAAAUAAGCAUCCUGACAAGGCAACCACUGGAGCAGCCAAGGCAGAUGAAAUUUCAAAAGAGUUGGAGGGUGAAUAAUGUUCAGUAUCACAGAAGAUCAGGAGACAUGGAUAGUGAGUCAAAGGACUGGAAAUCAGCCUCAGCAGGCUCUGGAUCAGGCAAGUAAGAGAAGAACUGGCC
rnacentral:lncRNA from 1 species